AGCCCCCUGGGAUAACACUGACGCUCAUGUACGAAAGCGUGGGUAGCAAACAGGAUUAGAUACCCUGGUAGUCCACGCCCUAAACGAUGUCAACUGGUUGUUGGGGGAGUGAAAUCCCUUAGUAACGAAGCUAACGCGUGAAGUUGACCGCCUGGGGAGUACGGUCGCAAGAUUAAAACUCAAAGGAAUUGACGGGGACCCGCACAAGCGGUGGAUGAUGUGGAUUAAUUCGAUGCAACGCGAAAAACCUUACCUACCCUUGACAUGUCCAGAACCCUGCAGAGAUGCGGGGGUGCCCGAAAGGGAAUUGGAACACAGGUGCUGCAUGGCUGUCGUCAGCUCGUGUCGUGAGAUGUUGGGUUAAGUCCCGCAACGAGCGCAACCCUUAUCAUUAGUUGCUACGCAAGGGCACUCUAAUGAGACUGCCGGUGACAAACCGGAGGAAGGUGGGGAUGACGUCAAGUCCUCAUGGCCCUUAUGGGUAGGGCUUCACACGUCAUACAAUGGUCGGUACAGAGGGUUGCCAAGCCGCGAGGUGGAGCCAAUCCCAGAAAGCCGAUCGUAGUCCGGAUUGUUCUCUGCAACUCGAGAGCAUGAAGUCGGAAUCGCUAGUAAUCGCGGAUCAGCAUGUCGCGGUGAAUACGUUCCCGGGUCUUGUACACACCGCCCGUCACACCAUGGGAGUGGAAUCUGGCAGAAGUAGGUAGCCUAACCGCAAGGAGGGCGCUUACCACGCUGGGUUUCAUGACUGGGGUGAAGUCGUAGCAAGGUAGCCGUAGGGGAACCUGCGGCUGGAUCACCUC
rnacentral:rRNA from 1 species